UGUGGAAAUGUGUGAAAUGCCUAGACAAUGUCUGAUGGAGGUCCGAGGUAUCAGUUGUCCUUAGCUGCCCUGAAGAAAUAAUUUGUAAUUAACAUUUUCUUGUUGCUGCUACUGUGACAAAUCUUUGCAGCAUAGCCUCUAGCAGCCUCUGCAGCAAGCUCCUCUCUGAGUGACCUGGUGCUGUAUCACUGCAUGCUUUCCUGUAGGGUCAACCGUGUAAUCCUGUGUUGCAAGAAGUGCUCCCUUGUGUCCUCCAUCCCACAGUUGCUCUGUGCCUCUGGCUCACUGGGGUGCUCCCGGGAAACAGUGGAGCCUGCUCCACUAGGUGACCCACACAGACCCACCCGGUUCCUGACCCAACGUAAGCUCCUGCUUCAACACAGCUGGAUGCCUGGCCAAAGGCAGACUUCUUGGAGCUUUUCUUCUCCAAGCCAUGCAGCCACAUCACUAACAGCUCUUUUCAAGGUGGUCUGUGCUGAUAAGCUGUGCCGCUCACGAAUCGUGCUUGUCCAUGCUGCUGCUCCAUGAAGCUUCGGUAGAGGGGAUCCAUCCUUAGAUCUAUAUCGCAGCUUCCAAGUAUAACCUACAAAUAUUUUUAUUCUCCAGGUACUGACUAUUAGAUCAGAGUCACAAAGAUGGAAGAAUGAGCAGAAAAACUGUCACAAAAAGUACUUACCUCGACUUUGUGUAAUUCCAUCCUAUUCCAUUGCACCCUAUACCGACUGUUAGGCUCUCUUCCAGGAAUGGUGUCUGAGUGCCUCUGGGGACUUCCAGUGCUUUUUUCCUGGGGCGAAUCAAAAAACGGGAAGCCAGAAGUCCUUCACUGGUGCCCAGUGCAGACAAUUCUGCUCUAAAAAUCCUUUGGUGGACUGGAUUUGAAAAAAUCCUUUGUCCCAACUCGUCAUGAUGUACAUUAGGCAACCUACCUUUUCUGGCAUUGCUACUUUUCUUCUUCCACUGUUACCUAAUUUCAGUGAGAAAAGUGAAAUGUGAAACUCAUGAUGAUUGCAUGUUCUGCUGGUUAUGCUGGUGAAACGGAUAGUUUUCAUGUGACGUGACAUACAGUUCUGCUUGCAGCGGGCUCUGUUUGAUACCUUCAUAGCAUAUGUUGGGAACUGCAUUUCAUAAUUCAAGGAAUCUGCAAUGACUGGAGUGGGCAAGCCCAAACAGAAAAGCCUGUGGAAUUAGUCUCAUCACCCUAGGAGAGGUGGUGGUGGACGUCUCUAUUCCAUCCUAUUCCAAAUGAUUUCUCAUUAACUUGAUGAAAGGGAGCAGAAAAUAAUUAUUUUUCCUAUUGUGCUAGUAAGAUCCCCAAAUAUUUUGUUAAAACAAGUUUAUGAGUCUGAAUGUCAUCACUGCAACCAUGCUGAGUUUCAAGAAUAUGUAGUUCUUGGUUGUUUAAUCUGUGAUGGGUUUUGUUUUUUGGGGGGGUUUUGCUUCUUUGUGUUAAGCAUCUUACUUCACUAAUUUUACCUGCUAUGCCAGCUCACUACUCAAGACAGGAUUGUUCAUAUCUAUCUAAUUUUCCCAUCUGAUUUCCGACGCACAAAUGUCUGCUUUUUGUUUGUAUUGACUACUGAGCCAUUUCAAUACUGCAUCUGUGCAGACAGACUUUCUUCUGCUUUUUCACAGGAGGUCAGACAUAGCACUAUCUUGCAUCUUACCUUUCACUUACACAGACAAAUCCUAGCCUUCCAUCAUUACAUUAUAGCACUGUGCAAAUGAGAGGCUCAUAAACAUUGUCUAUCCUUCCCUUACCAGCCAGAAAGCCUCAUCAAAUAUAUCUUGUUCAUGUUACUGUUACCAGUCAGAGAGCUCAGUCUCCAGCUAGAUGAUGAAUUUCAGCUUUGAAUCAUCAGUACUACUCAGUCUUGUUAGAAAUAUGAUGAAGAAACGCAUAUUUGUUCGUAUGUGCAAAAAAAAAUGCUGGGUUUUUGGCUGGAAAUGGAAAACAGAAAUCAAGACAGAAAACAUGUUACCCUGCAGAUUCUCAAAGCCUUACAUCAGCCUCCUUUUGGUUGUGGCAUACUGCUGCAGUGGUUGGGUUACCUCUGAGCCAGGGUCCUCUGACCUGGCAUAUCUCAUCAAGACAAGCGCUGAUGAGAGCACCCUGUGACUGCCUACCUUGCCUCUGAGAGGUGGAUACUGAGGUGCAUCAUGGCAAGGUAAAGUCUGGCUUAAACUCUGUCCUGAAGGAGGAUGGACGGCUAUGACUAUAUGGCCCUUAAAGGGCUGGGACAGUAACUCAGAAUCAGGAUAAUUUUUGUUCCUAAUGCUUUUAUUGAAAAGUUGUCUUCUAUGGCUUUCUUUUCCAUUUUCUACCUGGCUCUACUUCUGAUGAUACCACUUUGGAAACCUAGCAGGUUGCCCUUUCAGAAUAAGGGGUUUAUAUUCCCAUCUCUUCAUAUCUGCUGGGUUGUCUAGGUGAGUUGCCAGGUUACGCGAAGAGACCAGAGGCUGUGGCAAUGCUGUUAGCUCCUUUUCCUCUCCAGCUUCUCUGCUCCCUCUCCAGCUCCUGAAUAGCAGGACCAAGUCCAGCACUGCGAAGGCAUGCAGUGUCUCUGAGCACCAGAAGGACAUAACAGCGCAGGGACCUGCCAGGACAGAGCUAGCUUUCGCCACUACUCCAUAGUAUGGUAAAGGUAAGGAGAAUAGUGUCCCAUAAUGCUGAAGAGAGUAGCUAUGUUGUGGAAAGAAAAGAAACAUUGAUUAGAUCUGGAGAUUUUAUAGUGUAGAGAUUGUGUCCUAUAAGCAAUGCUCACUGCUCCUCCACAAAGUGUGACCUAAGACCAGUUUAGGACAGCUGGUGAGACUUUCCAACUUGUAAACAAAGGAUAUGGAAUGGAGAGAAAAUUAAGAUAACACUGAAGUCUUAAUCACAAAUGAACAAAGCAUGUGACAUUCCAGACUUUUGUGUGUGCUUGUAAUCACUAAUCUUGUUUUAAAGAGCAGCAGUAGGGACUCAUUCUUAAUUUCUACUUCAGCUUUCCUUUUGCUGUUUUUUUUUGUGUUAUCUUUUAAAGUUAUUUUUUUAAAUGCAGUUAAUCCGUCUUAGAAAACAGCCUUUUAAAAAGUGUUUUUUUUUAUUGUUCCAUACAGCCCUUGCUUUCCUACCAGCUCAAAUCAUGUUGACAUAUUCACACAGUUGAAGCUGGCAUUUUGACACGUGUACACAUCGUUUUCAUCUGCUUCCUGGGGAUGACUCCAAUGCCUGAGGUUUCUUUUAACACUCUGAAAAGCCUCUGGCUUUGUGCAAGGCUGCAUUCCUAAACAGUAUACCAGCUCUGAGGUUCAGCCAAUGUUUACUUUGUGAGAGAACCUUUUAAUAUCAAAAGGAAAACAGUCUUCCUACAUUCCACGUAGGUAGAUGCUAUUUGCCAUUUAAAAAAAAAAAAAGCAGUAAUAAUAAUGAUAAUGAUAGAUGAAAUUGCUAUUUCAGGGGAAAAGUCAUAAUUACAGUUGAAUCAUGGCUGUGGGCUGACAAAUAGAUAAGCAAAACAUGUUCUGCUGAGUCAGGCACGUGAUUAAGAAUACAUCUUCUCGCUUUGCCCUUUAUGAAAACAGGAGUGACUGGUGGUGAGGAUAUAUUUCAUUUUUAUUGGAGAACUACUUAAUAUAUUCAGCUUCAGGGGGAGACUGGCUAUAAUAGGACAAAUUGUUAGCUGGUUUAAGUCCAGACCUCUGUAGUGAUGAUCUAACUUUGUUGAUUUAUCAGCAAAGGAUGUGGCCCAGUACAUCUGAAAGAUAUGUUUCUUGUUGAUGGCCCUCCAAGGCUAAGCUAAUUUCAAGCUGUAAGAGAAGUGAUUAUUCCACUCUUGCCACUGCAUCUAACUAGGUGCUCAUGCCCAUCCCUUGCUUUGGCGAUCAUGCAGCAAGCUGAUCUGGCUAAAAAUGUUUACUCUCUUUUUUGGUAGAGUUCCCAUUCUGCCAGCUCGGCUGAUUGCAGGACCACACUGUUGCUGGAAUUUGUGCAGGGAAGGCAACAAGAAUGCGCAUGGGGUAAAGGCAAGGCACCCCUUUCAAAGGCACCUCACAGAUCAGUUUAAGACAUCUGUGAAAAUGCUCCAUUAGAUAUAGAGUUGCAAACUGGGACCUUGCUCUUGCUGAGGUGAGCAGUAAAACUCCCCUGUGGUAGGACUGGGUUCUUACUGAAUAAAUCUGAUGAUGUUACAGAAGAAACGUCUUUGUUGUCUGUGUAAAAUGCAUGUAUCGUGGGAGUGAGGAGAACAAGAAACAGGCAAAAUAAAAUUUUUUUUUAUACAGUUAUGGUUUCCAAUGCUGAAGGAUUAAAUCAAUUAUGGAAAAUAUACGUUCUGGAAAUUGAAGCAUGUGGCAUACGGAGCAUGUGGAACGCCUUUGUGAGCUGGGGAACCAAGAGUCAGGAAGGAAUGGGGGAAAUGUCUUUCAGUAUUUGUUGGAUUCUGAUCUUCAAAAGCAUGUAUUAUUGUAAGUAGCAUGCUCUAGCAAGAACAACGAUCACUGGAAAAAUGGUGCCA